rnacentral:rRNA from 1 species
CCUACGGGGGGCACCAGUGGGGAAUAUUGCGCAAUGGGCGAAAGCCUGACGCAGCCAUGCCGCGUGUGUGAAGAAGGCCCUAGGGUUGUAAAGCACUUUCAUUAGUGAGGAAAGGUUCGUAGUUAAUACCUGCGAGCUGUGACGUUAACUAAAGAAGAAGCACCGGCUAACUCCGUGCCAGCAGCCGCGGUAAUACGGAGGAUGCGAGCGUUAAUCGGAAUGACUGGGCGUAAAGCGCGCGUAGGUGGUUUGUUAAGUUGGAUGUGAAAGCCCAGGGCUUAACCUUGGAAUUGCAUCCAAAACUGGCAGGCUAGAGUACAGUAGAGGGAGGUAGAAUUUCCGGUGUAGCGGUGAAAUGCGUAGAGAUCGGAAAGAAUACCGGUGGCGAAGGCGGCCUCCUGGACUGAUACUGACACUGAUGUGCGAAAGCGUGGGUAGCGAACAGGAUUAGAUACCCCCGUAGUC